rnacentral:rRNA from 1 species
GACGGAGGGUGCAAGCGUUAUUCGGAAUCAUUGGGCGUAAAGAGCGUGUAGGCGGCCGGUCAAGUCAGAGGUGAAAGCCCAGGGCUCAACCCUGGAAGGGCCUUUGAAACUGGUCGGCUUGAGUGCGGGAGAGGGAAGUGGAAUUCCUGGUGUAGAGGUGAAAUUCGUAGAUAUCAGGAGGAACACCGGUGGCGAAGGCGACUUCCUGGACCGACACUGACGCUGAGACGCGAAAGCGUGGGGAGCAAACAGG